rnacentral:rRNA from 1 species
GAUGAACGCUGGCGGCGUGCUUAACACAUGCAAGUCGAACGAACCUUCGGGUUAGUGGCGGACGGGUGAGUAACGCGUGGGAAUCUGCCCUCAGGAGGGGGAUAACGGUUGGAAACGACCGCUAAUACCCCAUAUGCCGAGAGGUGAAAUGAAUUUCGCCUGAGGAUGAGCCCGCGUCUGAUUAGCUUGUUGGUGAGGUAAUGGCUCACCAAGGCAUCGAUCAGUAGCUGGUCUGAGAGGAUGAUCAGCCACACUGGGACUGAGACACGGCCCAGACUCCUACGGGAGGCAGCAGUGGGGGAUUUUCCGCAAUGGGCGAAAGCCUGACGGAGCAACGCCGCGUGAGGGACGAAGGCCUCUGGGCUGUAAACCUCUUUUCUCAAGGAAGAAGAUAUGACGGUACUUGAGGAAUAAGCCACGGCUAAUUCCGUGCCAGCAGCCGCGGUAAUACGGGAGUGGCAAGCGUAUCCGGAAUUAUUGGGCGUAAAGCGUCCGCAGGCGGCCUUUCAAGUCUGCUGUUAAAGCGUGGAGCUUAACUCCAUCAUGGCAGUGGAAACUGAUAGGCUUGAGUAUGGUAGGGGUAGAGGGAAUUCCCGGUGUAGCGGUGAAAUGCGUAGACAUCGGGAAGAACACCAGUGGCGAAGGCGCUCUACUGGGCCAUUACUGACGCUCAUGGACGAAAGCCAGGGGAGCGAAAGGGAUUAGAUACCCCUGUAGUCCUGGCCGUAAACGAUGAACACUAGGUGUCGGGGGAAUCGACCCCUUCGGUGUCGUAGCUAACGCGUUGAGUGUUCCGCCUGGGGAGUACGCACGCAAGUGUGAAACUCAAAGGAAUUGACGGGGGCCCGCACAAGCGGUGGAGUAUGUGGUUUAAUUCGAUGCAACGCGAAGAACCUUACCAGGGCUUGACAUCCUGCGAACCUUUAAGAAAUUAGAGGGUGCCUUCGGGAACGCAGUGACAGGUGGUGCAUGGCUGUCGUCAGCUCGUGUCGUGAGAUGUUGGGUUAAGUCCCGCAACGAGCGCAACCCACGUUUUUAGUUGCCAGCAUUUAGUUGGGCACUCUAGAAAGACCGCCGGUGAUAAACCGGAGGAAGGUGUGGAUGACGUCAAGUCAUCAUGCCCCUUACGUCCUGGGCUACACACGUACUACAAUGCUACGGACAAAGGGCAGCAAACUCGCGAGAGCUAGCAAAUCCCAUAAACCGUGGCUCAGUUCAGAUCGUAGGCUGCAACUCGCCUACGUGAAGUAGGAAUCGCUAGUAAUCGCAGGUCAGCAUACUGCGGUGAAUACGUUCCCGGGCCUUGUACACACCGCCCGUC